rnacentral:piRNA from 1 species
UGUCACUUACACAUCAGACUUUGGCAUAGU